AAAAACCGUGGCUCGUCCCUGUGCAGUUGUGAUUUGGAUUUGAGUGUUAAAUGCGUUUGACAUUUGUAAUCGUCUCCUUCUCACAAAAUUCGCAAGCAGAAAAUCAGAGACAGACAAUUUUCUCUUCCUUGUUUGGCUGCUUUUCUUUUCAUGAAGAAAAACACGUUAUUCUCAUCCCUUAACUACCCAUCUCUCCUUCAUUACUCCACUCUCUCGUUCUCCUCCUCACUUUUCUGGAAACCCUCGUUUUCAUGGCGAUAAUGUUACUGUUUAGCUCCAUACCCGACAAAUCAUACACACUUUCCAUGUCGAUUCUCUGUUUGCCAUAAUGGAUCUUCGGCUCCGCCAUUGACGGCUUAAAACCAUGUAUAAUCUGGAGCUAUAUGACUGAUUCUCAACCGUGAAUCCGGAUUUAUCAAUUUAAUUGAACCAUCGGUGAUCUUAGGGCAUUGGCUUUGUAGGAACUUUGGAAGCAUAAUAGGAGAAAA